GUUUGAGUAGUUCACAGGUAGCGCAACCUGUCUCAUAGUGUUUAUUUUCAAUGGCUAUUAAACGCUGUAAAUCAAAAUGACAUCGUGUACUGUUGUAUGUCUUCAAUCGAAGAAGGUUCGGAAAUGAUAUUUCCACAUGCUUAAAAUAGGAGAGCAGGUGUUUUUCCUCGCAGACGAAGGCCAGUCACAUGGUAAAGGUGCAAAUGCUGUGGUCAGCCAGGUUCACCACUACCUCAACACAUACGGUCUUGGCGAACAGCAUGCUCACUUUCAGUGUGACAACUGUUGCGGCCAAAAUAAAAACAACAUAGUCAUCUGGUUUACACAGAAUCAUCACACUAAGCUUUAUGUUGAUAAG